rnacentral:rRNA from 1 species
UACUAUAGCUUGACACUGAACAUUGAGCCUUGAUGUGUAGGAUAGGUGGGAGGCUUUGAAGCGUGGACGCCAGUCUGCGUGGAGCCAACCUUGAAAUACCACCCUUUAAUGUUUGAUGUUCUAACGUGGGCCCCUAAUCGGGGUUGCGGACAGUGUCUGGUGGGUAGUUUGACUGGGGCGGUCUCCUCCCAAAGCGUAACGGAGGAGCACGAAGGUUAGCUAAUCCUGGUCGGACAUCAGGAGGUUAGUGCAAUGGCAUAAGCUAGCUUGACUGCGAGCGUGACGGCGCGAGCAGGUGCGAAAGCAGGUCAUAGUGAUCCGGUGGUUCUGAAUGGAAGGGCCAUCGCUCAACGGAUAAAAGGUACUCCGGGGAUAACAGGCUGAUACCGCCCAAGAGUUCAUAUCGACGGCGGUGUUUGGCACCUCGAUGUCGGCUCAUCACAUCCUGGGGCUGAAGUAGGUCCCAAGGGUAUGGCUGUUCGCCAUUUAAAGUGGUACGCGAGCUGGGUUUAGAACGUCGUGAGACAGUUCGGUCCCUAUCUGCCGUGGGCGCUGGAGAAUUGAGGGGGGCUGCUCCUAGUACGAGAGGACCGGAGUGGACGCAUCACUGGUGUUCGGGUUGUCAUGCCAAUGGCACUGCCCGGUAGCUAAAUGCGGAAGAGAUAAGUGCUGAAAGCAUCUAAGCACGAAACUUGCCCCGAGAUGAGUUCUCCCUGAGACUUUAAGUCUCCUGAAGGAACGUUGAAGACGACGACGUUGAUAGGCCGGGUGUGUAAGCGCAGCGAUGCGUUGAGCUAACCGGUACUAAUGAACCGUGAGGCUUAACCUUACAACGCCGAAG